rnacentral:lncRNA from 1 species
UGACCCCCUCGUCUGUGCUGACCGUCUCCACCGUGUAGCGCCCCGAGGUCCCGGACUCCAGGACGUUCUCCUUCCAGGACCAAGCAAUGCGGUCGGGCGGAGGGGUGCUGCGGAUGAAGCACUUGAUCUGUCCCUUCUGGCCAUGCAGGGCGUGCUGCGUCUGCGUGCUGGAGAUGAUGGGUGGCCCGUUGACAGUGAGUGUCACCUCGCGCUCCCCUGCGCCCACCCGUGGGACCACGGCACGGCACACGUAUUUCCCAGCAUCUUCCUGGCGGACAGACUUGAGCGUCAGCUUG